UUUUUAAGCCAUUUGAUUGGUUGUUGAGAUAGAUAUCUGCAUAUAUAUAAGUGACGGCUAGUAUCUGGAUUACUGUGUGCAAACUACCACUUACCGCAGCUCCAUCUCUGUACGAACGACAAUGAAAACGGAGAUACAAUUGUGUGUAUGCGUUGCCCUGGCGGCAGUAUGCAUAGCCGGCGUAAGAUCUGCAGGUAAUUAUGGCGGAGGAAGUUAUGGAAGAGGUGUGUAUGGACGUAGUGCAUCAUACGGCGGUGGUGGAUACAACAGAGGAUACAGCAAAGGAUACGGUGGUGGUGGAUACAGCAAAGGAUAUGGCGGAGGUGGUUACGGAAAAGGCUAUGGUACAUCUAGGCGCCAGGGCGGUACCUUGUAUUACCCCUAUUACUACCCAGUACCAUACUUUGUAGGCGGAAGACGACGGGGAGGAGGAAGAGUGAGAGUUACCCCAGCCAUACUUGCAAGAACAGGAGGAAGACGUAGGGGAGGAGGUGUCGGAGGAGGAGGUGGUCUUCUCGGAGGUGGUGGAGGCGGAUUCGGAGGCAUUUUUAGUUUGAUCAUUUAGCAGAUGUCAGUCACGCUUUUCUUCCUUCAAUUUAUUCUUGGUCUCAUCGGAUAGACUGUAUGAAUCAGCCAGAAAUAAAUCUAAGGGAAGAAACCAUGGUAUUAAUAUAUUAGGAGCACACAAAGCACAGUCGUUGGGUACACACCAUGUAAUACUGAUACAAUUUUGUAAAUAAAAAUGCAGACCCGAA